rnacentral:misc_RNA from 1 species
UCUUGGAGGUGAAAAUUCAAUUUGGUUUGAGCUUUAACUAAAAUUCAGUUAUCAUAUAACUCUUUUCAAAUAAAUUUAAUUCUUUAAUUUGUUUAAAAUUAUAUAAAAUAAAGAAUAAUAAUCUAAAAUCAGGUAUAAAUUAUUAUAAAACAUUGCAUUAUAUCCAACAACAUAUAAUAACAUAAUAAUAUAUUUUAAUGUCAUAAGUACGAUAAAAUAUAAAAUUAGCACAUAUCAUCAUAUCUCAUACUGUAUAAUUUUUUUUGACCAUCAACAGUGGCAAUACCAUUUAUCUAAUUGCCAUGAGAGUAGUUAGGAUAUAACCUUAUCAAUGACUUAAAAAUUCCUCUGCAAAAUAAAUAUGAAAAGAUUAUAGAAAAACAAAUAGUAAAUAAAUAACAUGUAUCUUAUUAACAAAUUUCUAUACUGACCUAAAUAAUUUCUUAAAAUCAUAUUCAAUAUGCUUCCACCAUCCAUCAUCUGAUUCUUCUUUAAAAUUACGAUAAAUACAAGAGUACUAACUUUUAAGUCUGAUUUUAUCUCCUCUAAAACCAUCAUGUAUCCAUCAAUAAAUUUUACCCUAACUACAUGCUCAUUCAAAAUUUCUAAUAUAAAUUGUUGAUAUUAUGCAAUUGUAACAUGGGGAGAUCAUAACACACUAAAAACAUACUUUUUAUUGGCGAAUUGAUCAUUUUCAAGUAUAAUUUUUGAUAAAUGAGCUUGACAAACUGCACAAGAUUCAUUUUCUCUAUAUAUCCAAUAACCAAUUUGGCAUUUUGUUUCCUUAAAAAAAAGUUCAAAACAAUGGAUACAGAAAUAUUAAAAAGAAAGAUGCUAAAAGCUGAAAUAAUUAUAAAAAAAAUUAAUGUACAAUAAAUAAAUAAUAUAUCAUGUACUAACAUUUAAGACUGAUUUACCUAACAACUUAAAAACAUUAACUUUGAAAAUGAACUAAAUUAUAAGUUUCCUCGACACAAAAACUUUCGCAUGCAAAAUCUAUUAUUGAAGGCAUAGAGUUUCAAGUCUUGAGGGUUUUUAAUCAAUCAAAAUUAAUGUAGAACAGUUUACAGAAAGUUGUUCAACAUCAAUAAGUUUACCAUUUCAAUGGCAUCUGUCAACAAUGAAAACAUGUGAAAAAUUGUAAACUAUGAGUUGUAGCUAAGAGGAGAAAAUAAUGACAAGAAAGACUUGUUAAGCUAAAUAAAAGGUGAUGAAAGUAAGUUAACGAGGUGAAAGAACAUUGAGAAAAAGAAAGGGAUUCUUGUAUUGAAAAAUUACUACUGUAAAACUCAAAAAUAGCUAAGAUAAAUUUCAAUAUAACACAACUCUUCGUUAGCUAUCUAAAAGUGAGGUAGUUAUAAGAGAAUUAUCGUAGUUUAACAUAUUCUUAAUGACUUCGUGAAAAGCUACUUAACUAACUUAACUUAGCUAUUAUACAAAAAGAUAAUUUCAAAUAAUGUGUUGUAAUCUUAUAAAAAAAUAAAAAAAA